rnacentral:misc_RNA from 1 species
ACGGAUGAAGGCGACUACGCCGUGAAACUCAGGAACCUCACCCGGUUCCUGGAGCACGGCGACAAAUGCAAGGUCACCAUCCGCUUCCGGGGCCGCGAGAUGGCCCACCAGGAACUGGGCGCCAAGUUGCUGGACCGCAUCGAGGGGGAUCUCCAGGAACUGGCCACCGUGGAACAGCGGCCGAAGAUGGAAGGCCGCCAGAUGAUCAUGGUGAUGGGCCCCAAGAAGAAAUAACAAAGCCCCGGCCCGGUCCUCCCGGGUCCGAGGGCGAAUCCAGCCGGAUGUGCGGGUCCCGGUACACCUGCACGUCCCUAGCAACAGGACCGCCGUGACGGCGGCCUCAUCAGGAGUCCGA